rnacentral:rRNA from 1 species
AACGAACGCUGGCGGCAGGCCUAACACAUGCAAGUCGAACGCUGUAGCAAUACAGAGUGGCAGACGGGUGAGUAACGCGUGGGAACCUUCCCAAUGGUGCGGAAUAGCCCAGGGAAACUU